GAUGAAGAACGUAGCGAACUGCGAUAAGUAAUGUGAAUUGCAGAAUUCAGUGAAUCAUCGAGUCUUUGAACGCACAUUGCGCCCCCUGGUAUUCCGGGGGGCAUGCCUGUCCGAGCGUCAUUGCUGCCCUCAAGCACGGCUUGUGUGUUGGGCCUCCGUCCUCCUCCCGGGGGACGGGCCCGAAAGGCAGCGGCGGCACCGCGUCCGGUCCUCGAGCGUAUGGGGCUUCGUCACCCGCUCUUGUAGGCCCGGCCGGCGCUUGCCGACACAUCAAUCUUUUUUCCAGGUUGACCUCGGAUCAGGUAGGGAUACCCGCUGAACUUAAGCAUAUCAAUAAGCGGAGGA
rnacentral:misc_RNA from 1 species